CUUAGUACGGCGAGUGAAGCGGCAAAAGCUCAAUUUGAAAUCUGGCGUCUUCGACGUCCGAGUUGUAAUUUGAAGAAGGCGACUUUGUAGCUGGUCCUUGUCUAUGUUCCUUGGAACAGGACGUCAUAGAGGGUGAGAAUCCCGUGUGGCGAGGAUCCCAGUUAUUUGUAAAGUGCUUUCGACGAGUCGAGUUGUUUGGGAAUGCAGCUCUAAGUGGGUGGUAAAUUCCAUCUAAAGCUAAAUAUUGGCGAGAGACCGAUAGCGAACAAGUACAGUGAUGGAAAGAUGAAAGGAACUUUGAAAAGAGAGUGAAAAAGUACGUGAAAUUGUUGAAAGGGAAGGGCAUUUGAUCAGACAUGGCGUUUGCUUCGGCUUUCGCUGGGCCAGCAUCAGUUUUAGCGGUUGGAUAAAUCCUCGGGAAUGUGGCUCUGCUUCGGUAGAGUGUUAUAGCCCGUGGGAAUACAGCCAGCUGGGACUGAGGAUUGCGACUUUUGUCAAGGAUGCUGGCGUAAUGGUUAAAUGCCGCCCGUCUUGAAAACACGGACCAAAAA
rnacentral:rRNA from 1 species